CCAGACAAAUUUCAGCAGUGGGGUGGGGAGGUGGCCACGAGGCCCCGCCUUCUAGCCGAGGAAUUACUGUCCAUUGAUCACUGCUGGGAGACUGAGCAGACGUUUCCUUUAAGGCCCUGGCACGUGGACCAUGCUCCAGGGCAGGCCUCUCUCUGAAGAGUAUUUGAAGAGCACAAAGGGGCUGGAUGGGUUCUGAGACAGGCAGGUUAUUCUUCCACAUUUUGGAGCUCUAGUUUUGGCACAGAGAUAUGUAUGACUGGUGUGAUCGCACUCUCAUUUCUGGUGCCCAAAGAUGCCAGCAGAAGGUAUCAGAUCCCCUGGAACUGAAAUUACUGACAAGAGUUGCCAGGUGGAUGCUGGGAACCACACCUGGAUCCUGUGGAAGAGCAUUCAGUAUUCCAAACCAUCUUUCAGUCCUGUCGUUGGAACUGUCUGUUUGCUUUUUAAAGUACAGCAAUUUUAAAACAUGCCAGACAUCCAGGUCUUUCAUGUACACUGACUGUAUUUUUCAAUGUACUUUGAAAUACUUGGUGUUGUUGAAAUAAAAUAGUCAUUUUUCUAUCAUUUAACUUUUCUUUCUUGCUUUGAAACUUUUGAUCUUUUUUAAGGGUUUGUUUAAGCUAGAUCCACCUUACAGUAUCCCAACAGAACCAUAUGAUUGCUGCCAAGCACAUGCAGAAGUCAAGGUUUCCUCUGUUGAAGUGUAAGGAGGGGCCUCCUCUUGCUGUGGGCAGGGCAUAGCAUUCUGGCUUCUCAGGUGCUUUCUCCUGGCACUGUGAUGAUUCUCAGAUUGCUCACAACUAGAUGUCAGUUUAGGACACAUCUAAGGACAAGAAAUAAAUGAUCUGUAAGUAGGGUGUGAUGAAUGGCUCCACAUGAUCUUGACUAAUAUCUAUGGUGAUAUUUUAUUUUGUACUAAAAUGUUAUUAUGUUAAUAAAUAAAGUUG